AUUGAACGCUGGCGGAAUGCUUUACACAUGCAAGUCGAACGGUAACAGGUCUUCGGAUGCUGACGAGUGGCGAACGGGUGAGUAAUAUAUCGGAACGUGCCCAGUCGUGGGGGAUAACGUAGCGAAAGUUACGCUAAUACCGCAUGCGCCCUUAGGGGGAAAGCCGGGGACCGAAAGGCCUGGCGCGAUUGGAUGAGCCCAUGUUCGAUUAGCUAGUUGGCGGGGUAAAGGCCCACCAAGGCGACGAUCGAUAGCUGGUCUGAGAGGAUGAUCAGCCACACUGGGACUGAGACACGGCCCAGACUCCUACGGGAGGCAGCAGUAGGGAAUAUUGGACAAUGGGCGCAAGCCUGAUCCAGCCAUGCCGCGUGAGUGAAGAAGGCCCUCGGGUUGUAAAGCUCUUUUGUCCGGAAAGAAAAGCAUUCGGUUAAUACCCGGGUGUUCUGACGGUACCGGAAGAAUAAGCACCGGCUAACUUCGUGCCAGCAGCCGCAGUAA
rnacentral:rRNA from 1 species